rnacentral:sRNA from 1 species
GAUGUCAAGGUCAAAAGGUAAAAAUGUGCUUGUGCUUGCACAAAAGCACAUUUUUAUCUGAGGACCGCUAAAACAUGAGCAAGUAGCUGUUUACAUAGUAAACAUGCGGAUUGCGAAUGUUUUUAGCACGACGGGAAUUGCAAAGCAAUGUAGUCGUGCGUAGACAU